rnacentral:misc_RNA from 1 species
GGGCAAUCAUGGUGAUGCAGUUGCUAUGAGUAACCUGAGAUCAAGUAGUCUGAAUAGUCAUGCUGUUAUUGGAUUAGCAUGGAUAGGGAAAGGUCUGCUUAUGCGGGGUCAUGAGAAGCUAAAAGAUGUGACUAUGACUUUCUUGAGUUGCUUAGUUUCAAAUGAAGAUCAGGGAAAUUUGCUACCUUUCAAUGAUCAAAUGAAAGAUCCUGCAGAGCUCAAAGUGUUUUCUCUCAGAAAAUCAGCUGCUGAUGCAUUUCAUAUUGUUAUGAGUGAUUCUGAUGCUUGUUUGAACAGAAAUUACCAUGCAAUUGUCCGCCCGCUCUAUAAACAACGAUUUUUCAAC